rnacentral:rRNA from 1 species
UGACCUCCAAUCAGGUAGGACUACCCGCUGAACUUAA